rnacentral:lncRNA from 1 species
ACCUGAAGGCCUAUGAUUUUAGAAUAAGUGUUUGGGACACUAAUAAGAUUAUGGUAUGACUUGUUAUUGACUCUGAAUGCUAUGAUAAUGUCAUUGGAAAACUUUAAGUGAGUGAGCUUAACACCUUUGACAUUGAAUGAGGUAAUCCAUCCAUGGUAGAUAGCUUAUUGAGUAUAUUAGAAAGUAUUUAUUAAGUGAUUACAAAUAGUAAGGGUAAGAGAAGAACACCUUAGUGGAUACUAUAAUGACUCUUAAAUAAGUUAGUGGGGUGGUCAUUAAUAAGAUAGGAGAAACUCGACAAGGAGAUAUAGGAUUUAAUAUAUUUA